rnacentral:lncRNA from 1 species
CGAAGCUGGUUAACUCGUUCUCAUUGUCUUAGUCGGUAGUCGUUAAAAGUCGACCUAGUUACGCGAAUACUCCUUCAUAAUUCAUAACGUACGGUGAGAAAGGUUCGGUAGACUAUAACAUGUUUCGGAAGAUGAAAAAAAAAAAAAGGUAAAAAGAUAUCGAUGAUAGAACGAAACCUAUAAAAAGAAGACAAAAAAAUGUCCGAAAAACCAUUAAAUGGUGUCAUCGAGCUGAGCUAGACGCGACGUGACCGACCUGACGUUGUCCAGUACGAAAAAUUCGUAUGCUCGUUGAGUACAGAAAAAGGAAGAAGACGAAGACGAAAACGAAAACGACGACGACGACGACGACGACGACUACUCACCCGUUUGAAGAUAAGAUCGAAUCGUGUAGGUAAAAAAGAAAAACUUAAAGAAGAACUAAGUAGUCGGAUUCGAAGUCGUGAAGCAUUUUGCGAAGAACUUUGAAAGAUACGAAAAACAUAACAACCAAAAAAUAUAUAUGAAAUAACCGAUACAUUCCCAUUUGCUCCCACUCUUCCUCCUCCUCCUCCUUCUCGUCUUCAAGCACUUCUAUCUCGUAUACCACCACCACCACCACCCCUUCUCAAACUAAGGAACGAACGAACGAAACGACUGGAAUACCGGCGCGUCAACUGCUCGGAAAAGUGAAAUUCGCAUUCCAUCGGCAUGCUCGCUACCGGCCGUACGUGGCACACGUGUACGUUGGCAUCGAAGUCAAAGCCGUUACACGACACAACUCCUAUGAGUUUCCCCAUUUACGACAUCUUUUUUCAUUUUUUUUUUUAUGUAUCGUAUGACACAUAUAUGAGAAGAAAAAUAAGAACCGAAGAAGAUGAGGGAAAAAAGAAAAAAAAAAAAAAUACGUAAGAAACAUGACUCGAUCGUAUCGGAUGACUAAUCAUCCAAAUUUUCCCCGAUUGUCAAAUUUCUAAAAUAUAUAAUAAUUGGUCCAUCGACCAUAUUCGAGACAUCGUCAUCAUCAUCAUCAUCAUCAUCGUUGUCGUCGUUUUUGUUGUUGCGUGGUCGAUUCACCUAUACCAAGUAGAAGCCGACAGAAUUUCCCUGAAACUGCUGGCUUUCACUUCUUCGAAGAAUGCGAAGGUUGUACACGAACAACGUCUAGCCUGGCAGUGGGUACGGCACACGAGUCUCUUUUUCCCUUUCCCCCCUCUAUGCCCCCUUUCAUUCUCUUUCUUUCUCUCCCACUCUCUCUCUCUCUCUCUUUCUUUCUUUUUCUCUCGAUGUUUCUAACUUCGUCGCGCACACUUCAUCCUUCUAUCUUAGUUAGUUAGUCUUUCUCUUGAUCUUUCUCUUUCUACCGUGACACAUACACACAUACACACAACAAACGCAUAUACAGCGAGAGUCUCUAUCUGUCUCUUACUCGUACAGAGUCUCAUUCCCCUUCGGCUAAACCGAGAGACUUCAACAGACCAAGAGUAAGAGAGAAAGAGACUUCGAUGAGCGCAACCGCGAGAUUUCAAGCAGUGGAAGGAAACUGGUUAUGGUCGGCCGCGUAGGCAGACAUUCAUACACACACCCUGCGUAGUGGACACAGGGCUGGGCAAAAUACUCCUACAACUCGACCGUUCUGUACUCGUAAUACUUG